rnacentral:tRNA from 1 species
GCCCUAGUAGCUCAGCCUGGUUAGAGCGAAGGUUUCGUAAACCUUAGGUCGUGGGUUCGAAUCUCACCUAGGGCU